rnacentral:lncRNA from 1 species
UUCGCUUCUACUAGACUCCAGGUGCGAGCUGGGGCUAACCAUCGCCAGGAUGUGGGACGCUGCGUGUUUGCAGCCGCAGGACUGGGAAGGCUUCAGAGGACGAGAAAGCAGGUGGAGGCCCGGAUCUCGCCGGUCCCGGAGGCUAUGGGCACGGCUCCUACUUUUCCUCUGCGGUCCUCAAGUUCUCCAGAUCCUGUCCCAGGCUCGACGUGUCUCCUCUCGCUCUUCCGCGCCGAGCCGGUCUACGCAGGCAAAGCGAGGCUGCCUAGGCAACCAUUCAACUAGCCCAAUUUAAAGCCACAUCCUUACCAAAAAGUUCAGCUGUGUGGAAAGGGGGGAGAGCCCAAAUGUUUGUAGAGCAGAUUUCCUGUGUAUUCCCACGCUGCCCGAGUCCCGCACAGUUUCCUUGGCUCCUGCCAGCCAAGUCUUUUGGAAUCUCGGCGACGACUUCCAAAUCUAGGCUUUACCCUAUCGUGGAAAAAUAAAGCGGGGUCCACCUCAA